UACGUAGGGGGCAAGCGUUGUCCGGAUUUAUUGGGCGUAAAGAGCGUGUAGGCGGUUUGGUAGGUCCGUUGUGAGAACUCGAGGCUCAACCUCGAGACGCCGAUGGAAACCAUCAGACUAGAGUCCGGAAGAGGAGAGUGGAAUUCCUGGUGUAGCGGUGAAAUGCGCAGAUAUCAGGAAGAACACCCGUGGCUAAGGCGGCUCUCUAGUACGGUACUGACGCUGAGACGCGAAAGCGUGGGGAGCGAACAGG
rnacentral:rRNA from 1 species